rnacentral:rRNA from 1 species
GACGAACGCUGGCGGCGUGCUUAACGCAUGCAAGUCGAACGGAAAGGCCCUGCUUUUGUGGGGUGCUCGAGUGGCGAACGGGUGAGUAACACGUGAGUAACCUGCCCUUGACUUUGGGAUAACUUCAGGAAACUGGGGCUAAUACCGGAUAGGAGCUCCUGCUGCAUGGUGGGGGUUGGAAAGUUUCGGCGGUUGGGGAUGGACUCGCGGCUUAUCAGCUUGUUGGUGGGGUAGUGGCUUACCACGGCUUUGACGGGUAGCCGGCCUGAGAGGGUGACCGGCCACAUUGGGACUGAGAUACGGCCCAGACUCCUACGGGAGGCAGCAGUGGGGAAUAGUGCACAAUGGGCGGAAGCCUGAUGCAGCAACGCCGCGUGCGGGAUGACGGCCUUCGGGUUGUAAACCGCUUUCGCCUGUGACGAAGCGUGAGUGACGGUAAUGGGUAAAGAAGCACCGGCUAACUACGUG